UGUUUCUUAUACUUUCCCUUAAUUCCCAGAUAGGAGGGUACAAGGAUGUACCUGACAGCGAAGCCGCGACAGGACGUCGCGUCUGAGCGGUAUCGUCCGGCAGAAAUAUCCAUAUGGAAAGUAUUAGAAACAGC
rnacentral:ncRNA from 1 species